UACGUAGGGUGCAAGCGUUAAUCGGAAUUACUGGGCGUAAAGCGUGCGCAGGCGGCUUUGCAAGACAGAUGUGAAAUCCCCGGGCUCAACCUGGGAACUGCAUUUGUGACUGCACGGCUAGAGUGCGGCAGAGGGGGAUGGAAUUCCGCGUGUAGCAGUGAAAUGCGUAGAGAUGUGGAGGAACACCGAUGGCGAAGGCAGCCCCCUGGGUCAACACUGACGCUCAUGCACGAAAGCGUGGGGAGCAAACAGG
rnacentral:rRNA from 1 species